AUGAAGAAAAUUUCGCUAGCUGAAAAGUGAUGAGUACCCUCGCAACUGA
rnacentral:snoRNA from 1 species